GUAUUAUCCUCGUUGGAGCUUACCGCCAUAAAAGUAAUAAAUAAUCGGGCCACCGCGAAACGUCUCAUAAAAUGCCUUAUUGGAUUACGUAAAAUGUUUCUGACACUAUUAAUCGAAUACCAAAUAUUAGUCUGAACUCAACCUGCAUUAAACUGCGGAUAAACAUAUUUACGACGGAUAAAACGGCCGAUGAGCUCGACAUCGUUUCCGGCAUUGUAUUAUAUUGGCAUUGAAUUGGUCAAAAAUGAUCUUUCUAGAAGGAUUCCAUUUGCUUGUUUGAAAUUGUAAAUAUGAUAUGAUAUUCUUGAUGUUAUCAGAAGAAGAAUUGUAUUAAGACAUCUCUGUGUUUUAAAAUAAUAAUGAUAGUAAAUUAAAAAAAGUA